rnacentral:rRNA from 1 species
AGCGAACGCUGGCGGCAGGCCUAACACAUGCAAGUCGAACGAACCUUUCGGGGUCUUUGGCGGACGGGAGAGUAACACGUGGGAACGUGCCUUUAGAUGUGGACUAACUCAGGGCAACUUGUGCUAAUACCGAAUGUGACCUACGGGGGCAUGAUUAUUCGCGUUUGGAGCUGACUGCGUCUGAUUAGCUAGUUAGUUGAGGUAAUGGCUCCCCAAGGCGUCGAACAGUAGCUGGUCUGGAAGGAUGGUCAGCCACAUUGGGACUGAGACACGGCCCAAACUCCUACAGAAGGCAGCAGUGGUGAAUCUUGCGCAAUGGGCGAAAGACUGACGCAUCCAUGCCGCGUAAAUGAUGAGGGACUUAAGAUUGUAAGAGUCUUUCGACAGGUACGAUUAUGACGGUACCCUGAGAGGAAGCCACGGCUAACUACGUG